GGUAUGUUUUUGUUGUAAAACAAAGGGCCGAUUUUUAACAUUCCUUUUACGAGACCCCACGAGUGGACUUUGGCUAACUUUUUUUCGCCCCCCCCUUCUUCACCUAGGUCCCCCACCUGCUUCUAUCCAAAGCCAGCCUCUUAGCCUGCGCACCUCUCUCUCUCUCUCAGCUCAGGCGAAGACAACAGUCAAUCAGAAAGCAAAAGAACCCCACAAACUCUUAGUCCUACUUAGGUCCAGACCACUCUGCAAAAAAAAUUUAACUCUCGUUCUCUCUAUAUCUAUCUUCUCUCUUUCUCUCUCUUUCUUUCUGUUGAGAAAACAAAGAUGACUUAGAGAGAAGAAGAACAAAGAGAAAAGAUAAGGUUGAUGAUGGAUCGACUUUGAAACCAAAAAACAAAAAACAUUUUAGUAUAAAAAUUAAAAUCCAAGCCCCUUUGAAAAACCCGGAAGAAUUACCCCACCAAAUGGAACUUACAGAUUUGCAAAGCAACAAGCAAAGCAACAACAGCAACAGCAACAACAACAACAGUAGCAACAAUUCUACAGAACCCCAUCAUCAGUCUCUCCACCACCACCUUCAUCAUCACCACCACCACCACCUCCAACAUCAAAAGCAGUCCCCUUCUCCUCAACUUGUGGUCCCUUUUGAUGGCACCAGAUCUUCGGGUCCUUCCGCAGGCAACCCUUUUAAUAUGGGCUCCAUCUCUCACCCCCACCACCACCAUCAUCUGCUUCUUCAUCCUGCUUCUUCAACAACUACGACAACCACAACGCCGCCUCUCUCCUCUUCUUCCUCCUCUUCUUCUUCAGCUACUACCACUACAACCAACCCGCCUCAACUCGUUGACGCCUCUCUCGCUAUUGCCACCAGAUCUACUUCUGUCAACGUCGAUUCCACAAAGAAGAAUCAGCCAAACUUGCCACUUUCAUCUACGACAACGACGACGACGACGACCGUAGCUAACCCUCCAGUGAAACGCUCCACCAAGGACCGCCACACGAAAGUCGAUGGUCGAGGCCGCCGAAUCAGAAUGCCAGCUACUUGUGCGGCUAGGGUUUUUCAAUUGACAAGAGAAUUAGGUCACAAAUCUGAUGGGGAAACAAUUGAAUGGCUUUUACAACAAGCAGAACCAGCAAUAAUAGCAGCCACAGGAACUGGUACUAUACCAGCCAAUUUUUCAACUCUUAAUGUUUCGUUAAGAAGUAGCGGAUCCACGCUUUCAGCUCCACCUUCAAAAUCUGCUCCUCACUCGUUCCAUGGUGCUUUAGCUUUGGCUUCUCAUCAUCAUCAUCACCCUUAUGAAGAAGGGUUUGCUCAUAGCGCUUUGUUGGGUUUUCACCAUCAGCAGCAGCAACAGCAACAACAGCAGCAUCUUUUAACAGCAGAUCAAAUAGCUGAAGCUUUACCUGGAGCUGCUGGUGGAGAUAGUGGAAAUUCAAGUGAGAAUUAUAUGAGGAAACGGUUUAGAGAGGACUUGUUUAAGGAUGACAAUCAGCAACAAGGUGAAAGUGGUAGUGGCGGCGGAGGUGGAAGCGGAGACGGAUCCCCUAUUAAGGUUUUUAAAAGUGGUUUAAGCCAAUUGCCUAAACCACAACAAGAUGCUGGAUCUUCGGGCCUACUUCGACCAUCAAAUAUUCUGCCCGCCACUGCCAUGUGGGCAGUGGCACCGGCUCCUAGCAGUGGAGCAGGCAGUACAUUUUGGAUGCUGCCCGUGACUGCUGGUGCCGGUGGCCCGUCAGUGGCCACGGGUGCAUCCGGGGCUGGUCCAUCUGAGCCCCAGAUGUGGCCUUUUGGAACACCAGGUCCCGCAAGUGGGAAUACAUUACAAGCACCCUUGCAUUUUGUGCCAAGAUUUAAUCUUCCGGGUAGUGUUGAAUUCCAAGGUGGUAGGCCGAGUCCUUUGCAAUUGGGUUCGAUGUUAAUGCAGCAACAGCCUUCUCAGCACCUUGGCUUAGGAAUGUCUGAGUCUAAUUUGGGCAUGUUGGCUGCUCUUAAUGCCUAUUCUAGAGGUGGUUCGAACAUUAAUUCGGAGCAAAAUAAUCCACUGGAACACCAUCAACACCAGCCUCAAGGUACAGAUAGUGGAGAUGAAGACCCCAAUAAUUCUCAAUGAUGGAUUCCGAGAAUUAAAUGUACAAGAGUUGGUUAGUAGGCUUUUAAUUCACAUAUUUGACAGAUGUGGAAAACAGGAAGUUUGUGAUGAGCUGAGUGCAUGAACUUUGUUAGUGGAUUUGUCAUCUGGGGAGAUAAAAGAAAGGUUCUGAUUAGGUCCCAUUUGUUAGCUUUGUUUGUCCUUUUGAUUUUAAAUUUUUUUCCCAAUUUUUCUUGGCUAGAGUUGAUCGAUUUGGAGAAGUUUGAGAGUUUGUAAUUUCAGUUGUGGUCCGAAGGGGACCUGAUAGGGAACAGGAAUGAGAGAGAGAGAGAGAGAGAGUUGCUUGUAUAGGAGGAUAUUUGUUUGUGUUUGAUUACUGUGUUUAUUACUAUUA